AACAAAUCCAGUUUGCUGGAUCACAGAGCCUCUCAUCCUGUAUGGCGUGAACCUUUCCUACUUCACCAUCAUGUUUGUGUUCAACACAGUCGUUCUAAUCACAGUGUCCAGGCAGAUCUUUAAGCUAAAGAAAUUGGACAACAAGAAUAAGAAAAUACCAGUGAAGGAUACCAGCACAGUUCUUGGCCUCAUGUGAUUGCUGGGUACAUCAUGGGGUUUGGUUUUUCUUGGCUAUGGAUAUGCCAGCUACCCAAUACUCUACAUAUUCUGCAUUUCAAAUACAAUUCAAGGGUUUUCUAUCUUUCUGCGGAUGUGUCAGACAGCAAGGCCAGAAA